rnacentral:lncRNA from 1 species
CCCCUUUUUGGCAUCAUCCUCAUCAGGAAUCAGAAUUGAUGUGAUCAGAGAAAGUGAUGUUUGGAUAGCUUCCAGCUGCUUUGACAUCUUUUCUUGAUUUGAUUCAAUCAAGGUCAUCCUCUGGUCCAGAGAUUCAUUUGCAGUGACCAGCUUCUGUACACUUUCUUUUAUAGGAUUGAUGGUCCUUUUCUUUUCCAGUUCAUUGGUCUCCUUGACCUUUGCCACCUCUGUUCUUAGACCAUCUAUUGAUUUAGAUGUCUGGGCAUGAGCAGGAUGAAAUGUCUUUAGAUAGAGAAUUGUGCCUUUGAGGCUUGACAUAACAUC